UGUUAAAAAUUUCGUUCAUGUCUACUAUUAAAAACUAACAUGACCGAUAGAAUAACCAAACAAUGAGAUAAAGUAUGCCGCAUGUACCUCAUGUUAACAUAUAAGAACCAAUUUUUAACAGUAAAAAUGGAUAAAAUUUUCAACG
rfam:Gossypium raimondii Chr07_contig_1145, whole genome shotgun sequence.